CCCAAAGCCCUAAAUCGCGCAAGGCUCCAGAAAAUCCUCGUCUUGAUAUGUGAAUGUGGCCUAUUUAUAUGGCACUUGAUAGCUGCACAGUACUGCAACAUAAACAACGAAACACUAGGAGUAGGAGAUCGAAGGAAAGAGAAGAGGAGCUUCAAUUCGGUAAGAGAUGGAGGCUUUCCGAAAGCUCACAGUUGUGGCCUUUGUGCUUKCUGUAGUUCUAGGAAAUGAAGUGAUGGUGUCAUAUUCACAGACCAUCUGCAACAUGCCUGCAGCGAGUCUUAUGGCGUGCAUGCCUUCUGUAACUGGCACAAAGCCUUCUCCGCCUUCUGGAGACUGCUGCUCUGCACUCUCUCAUGCUGACUUGAAGUGCCUUUGCUCCUAUAAGAACUCCAAAUUGCUGCCUUCACUUGGGAUUAACCCCAAGCUUGCCAUACAGCUCCCUGCGAAAUGCAAGCUUCCUCAACCCAAGACGUGUUAAGGAAGGAGACUGCUAAAUAAGGAGAUUCGAUGGCUACAGAAGAUUUCCACCAAAAAAGGCGUUAGACAAAAUGUGAUAUUUUCCUUUUUUUUUUUCUUUUUUYGCAUGCUUUUUUAUGUUUGUCGUUUCCAUUAAUAAAUAGUUAUGUAUUUGCCACGCUUUGCUGUACAAGGUUAAAAGCUUGGAUUCUUUGCC